UAGAGUUUGAUCCUGGCUCAGAAUCAACGCUGGCGGCGUGCCUAACACAUGCAAGUCGAACGAGAAAGUCCCGCAAGGGAUGAGUACAGUGGCGCACGGGUGGGUAACACGUGACUAACCUACCUUCGAGUGGGGAAUAACCUCGGGAAACCGGGGCUAAUACCGCAUAACAUCAUCGGGUGAAAUUCCUGCUGAUCAAAAGUUUUUUGCUUGAAGAGGGGGUCGCGGCUGAUUAGCUAGUUGGUGAGGUGAUGGCUCACCAAGGCGAUGAUCAGUAGCCGGCCUGAGAGGGCGCACGGCCACACUGGAACUGAAACACGGUCCAGACUCCUACGGGAGGCAGCAGUGGGGAAUUUUGCGCAAUGGGGGAAACCCUGACGCAGCAACGCCGCGUGGAGGAUGAAGUCCUUUGGGACGAAAACUCCUUUCG
rnacentral:rRNA from 1 species